ACCACACAGCAGCUACACUGAGAUGGAAAUAACACAGCCAGAUGUUAAUUAACAGCACAGCCCCAAUUAACAGGUGCCAAUCAGUACAGAAACACAACUCUGUUCUGGACAAUCCCGUGCCAGGUGCCGCCACGCAACACCCAGCUGGGGCCCGGCCUGGGGCACCCGCACGGAGGAUGAGUCCCCAGUGCUGCCCUCGAGGGUAAGGGAUCGGGAAACACGGGCUCUAGGCGGAGGGCAGCGGGGAGCCGUGGGGCCGUCGGAAGGUACCACCAGCCUCCUCCAGCGCUCUCCCCACGUCGGAGAGGGGAAGAUGGCGCCCGCAGCGCCACGGACACGCGUGGCCGUGCAAAGGUUUUCCCCUUCACCGGCUGCGGCGGGUAAGCGGCUCCCGACGGGGCGGGCGGGGGGAAGCCCUCUCGUGAGGGGUGCCUGUGGCCUGAUUGGCCUCGCCGGCUGCCAAUCGGUGUUGCUAUUGCAUCAUCCCGGCGGCCGGCGCGGUGGCGAUUGGAGAGGGGGCGGGCGGAGUUGGAGGUGUCGCAAUCGCCGCUCGCCCGCACGCCACACGUUAAGGAAAGAGGCUCGGGCCCGGCCUGGCCCCUCCCGCCGCCAUAGGUUCACCUUGCCCGUAAUCCAUGUGAAGACCUGCUGGAAACACCUUCUAGAAACAUAGUAAUUUUCAGUCUCCUAAUAAUUCUGCUGUG
ensembl:lncRNA